rnacentral:rRNA from 1 species
UACGAAGGGGGCUAGCGUUGCUCGGAAUCAUUGGGCGUAAAGCGCACGUAGGCGGUUCGUUAUGUCGGAUGUGAAAGCCCUUGGCUUAACCGAGGAAGUGCAUCCGAAACUGGCGAGCUAGAGUACGAAAGAGGAUCGCGGAAUUCCCGGUGUAGAGGUGAAAUUCGUAGAUAUCGGGAGGAACACCGGUGGCGAAGGCGGCGAUCUGGGUCGAUACUGACGCUGAGGUGCGAAAGCGUGGGGAGCAAACAGGAUAGAA